GUUUCAGCCGCCGCGGUAAUACAGAGGUCCCAAGCGUUGUUCGGAUUCACUGGGCGUAAAGGGUGCGUAGGUGGUCGGGUAAGUCUGAUGUGAAAUCUCCGAGCUCAACUCGGAAACUGCAUCGGAUACUAUUCGGCUAGAGGGUUGGAGGGGGGACUGGAAUGCUUGGUGUAGCAGUGAAAUGCGUAGAUAUCAAGCGGAACACCAGUGGCGAAGGCGAGUCCCUGGACAACUCCUGACACUGAGGCACGAAAGCUAGGGGAGCAAACAGGAUUAGAUACCCGUGUAGUCC
rnacentral:rRNA from 1 species